GAUGAAGAACGCAGCGAAAUGCGAUAAGUAAUGUGAAUUGCAGAAUUCAGUGAAUCAUCGAAUCUUUGAACGCACAUUGCGCCCGCCAGUAUUCUGGCGGGCAUGCCUGUUCGAGCGUCAUUUCAACCAUCAAGCCCCAGGCUUGUGUUGGGGACCUGCGGCUGCCGCAGGCCCUGAAAACCAGUGGCGGGCUCGCUGUCACACCGGGCGUAGUAGAUUUUAUCUCGCUCAGGGCGUGCUGCGGGUCCCGGCCGUUAAAAGCCUUUUUUUACCCAAGGUUGACCUCGGAUCAGGUAGGAAGACCCGCUGAACUUAAGAAUAUCAAUAAGCGGAGGA
rnacentral:misc_RNA from 1 species